rnacentral:tRNA from 2 species
GCCGACGUGGUGAAAUUGGUAGACACACUAGCUUGAGGGGCUAGCGCCGCAAGGCGUGUCGGUUCGAAUCCGACCGUCGGCACCA